UACGGGGGGGGCAAGCGUUGUUCGGAAUUACUGGGCGUAAAGGCUCGUAGGUGGCCAACUAAGUCAGACGUGAAAUCCCUCGGCUUAACCGGGGAACUGCGUCUGAUACUGGAUGGCUUGAGUUUGGGAGAGGGAUGCGGAAUUCCAGGUGUAGCGGUGAAAUGCGUAGAUAUCUGGAGGAACACCGGUGGCGAAGGCGGCAUCCUGGACCAACACUGACACUGAGGAGCGAAAGCCAGGGGAGCAAACGGG
rnacentral:rRNA from 1 species